AUUGAACGCUGGCGGCAUGCUUUACACAUGCAAGUCGAACGGUAACAGGCCGCCAGGUGCUGACGAGUGGCGAACGGGUGAGUAAUGCAUCGGAACGUGCCCAGUCGUGGGGGAUAACUACUCGAAAGAGUAGCUAAUACCGCAUACGAUCUAUGGAUGAAAGCGGGGGACCGUAAGGCCUCGCGCGAUUGGAGCGGCCGAUGUCAGAUUAGGUAGUUGGUGGGGUAAAGGCUCACCAAGCCAACGAUCUGUAGCUGGUCUGAGAGGACGACCAGCCACACUGGGACUGAGACACGGCCCAGACUCCUACGGGAGGCAGCAGUGGGGAAUUUUGGACAAUGGGCGCAAGCCUGAUCCAGCAAUGCCGCGUGCAGGAAGAAGGCCUUCGGGUUGUAAACUGCUUUUGUACGGAACGAAACGGCUCUGGUUAAUACCCGGGGCUAAUGACGGUACCGUAAGAAUAGGCACCGGCUAACUACGUG
rnacentral:rRNA from 1 species